GCCGCGGUAAUACGGAGGGUGCAAGCGUUAAUCGGAAUUACUGGGCGUAAAGCGCACGCAGGCGGUCUGUCAAGUCGGACGUGAAAUCCCCGGGCUCAACCUGGGAACUGCAUUCGAAACUGGCAGGCUAGAGUCUUGUAGAGGGGGGUAGAAUUCCAGGUGUAGCGGUGAAAUGCGUAGAGAUCUGGAGGAAUACCGGUGGCGAAGGCGGCCCCCUGGACAAAGACUGACGCUCAGGUGCGAAAGCGUGGGGAGCAAACAGGAUUAGAUACCCUGGUAGUCCACGCCGUAAACGAUGUCGACUUGGAGGUUGUGCCCUUGAGGCGUGGCUUCCGGAGCUAACGCGUUAAGUCGACCGCCUGGGGAGUACGGCCGCGAGGUUAAAACUCAAAUGAAUUGACGGGGGCCCGCACAAGCGGUGGAGCAUGUGGUUUAAUUCGAUGCAACGCGAAGAACCUUACCUACUCUUGACAUCCAGAGAACUUUCCAGAGAUGGAUUGGUGCCUUCGGGAACUCUGAGACAGGUGCUGCAUGGCUGUCGUCAGCUCGUGUUGUGAAAUGUUGGGUCAAGUCCCGCAAACGAGCGCAACCCUUAUCCUUUGUUUGCCAGCGGUCCGGG
rnacentral:rRNA from 1 species